UGGGGAAUUUUGGACAAUGGGGGAACCCUGAUCCAGCCAUCCCGCGUGUGCGAUGAAGGCCCUUCGGGUUGUAAAGCACUUUUGGCAGGAAAGAAACGUCGCGGGUUAAUACCCCCGCGAAACUGACGGUACCUGCAGAAUAAGCACCGGCUAACUACGUGCCAGCAGCCGCGGUAAUACGUAGGGUGCAAGCGUUAAUCGGAAUUACUGGGCGUAAAGCGUGCGCAGGCGGUUCGGAAAGAAAGAUGUGAAAUCCCAGAGCUUAACUUUGAACUGCAUUUUUAACUACCGGGCUAGAGUGUGUCAGAGGGAGGUGGAAUUCCGCGUGUAGCAGUGAAAUGCGUAGAUAUGCGGAGGAACACCGAUGGCGAAGGCAGCCCCCUGGGAUAACACUGACGCUCAUGCACGAAAGCGUGGGGGGCAAACAGGAUUAGUACCCUGGUAGUCCACGCCCUAAACGAUGUCAACUAGCUGUUGGGGCCUUCGGGCCUUGGUAGGCGCAGGCUAACGCGUAAGUUGACCGCCUGGGGAGUACGGUCGCAAGAUUAAAACUCAAAGGAA
rnacentral:rRNA from 1 species